rnacentral:rRNA from 1 species
GGGCAGUUUGACUGGGGCGGUCACCUCCUAAAGAGUAACGGAGGUGUGCAAAAGGUAAGCUUGAGUUGAGAACCAACUUUUAAGUAUAAUAAUAAAUGCUUGCCUGACUGUAAGAUUGACAAAUCAAGCAGGGACGAAAGUCGGUUAUAGUGAUCCGGUGGUUCUGAGUGGAAAAGGCCAUCGCUCAACGAAUAAAAGGUACGCCGGGGAUAACAGGCUAAUCACCCUCUAGAGACCCUAUCGACGGGGUGGUUUGGCACCUCGAUGUUGGAUUAUCGCAUCCUGGAGCUGAAAAAGGUUCCAAGGGUUUGACUGUUCGUCAAGAAAGGCGGUACAUGAUCUGAGUUUAGAACGUCGUGAGACAGUUUGGUCCCUAUCUACCGUAGGUGUAAAAAAUUGAAAAGAGUAGACCCUAGUACGAGAGGACUGGGAAAAGUGAAUCUCUGGUGUAUCGAUUGUU